ensembl:snoRNA SNORD57 small nucleolar RNA SNORD57
GGUGAAUGAUGACUACUACUUCUUCCCCGACUCAACUGAUGGGGGUUAAAAUUACUGAUUUAAUGAGCCUGACAC